rnacentral:hammerhead_ribozyme from 1 species
GAGCGGUCAGGGUAGCGUCAAGCCCUCUGAUGAGACCCUUCGCAAGGUCGAAACCGCUU